rnacentral:rRNA from 1 species
UACAGAGGGGGCGAGCGUUGUUCGGAAUUACUGGGCGUAAAGGGCGCGUAGGCGGCCAACUAAGUCAGACGUGAAAUCCCUCGGCUCAACCGGGGAACUGCGUCUGAUACUGGAUGGCUUGAAUUCGGGAGAGGGAUGCGGAAUUCCAGGUGUGGCGGUGAAAUGCGUAGAUAUCUGGAGGAACACCGGUGGCGAAGGCGGCAUCCUGGACCGGCAUUGACGCUGAGGCGCGAAAAGCUAGGGGGAGCAAAGCGGG